AAUUUUUUUUAUAAUUAACUCAAAUGAAAUCACUGGUGGGACAUAUUAGUGCUUCUGCUGGUUCAGUUUCUCACCCAGCGAGAAGUGAGAGUUGGACUCCACCAGCCUUGGUUGCUUAAAAUGAAUUGUGAUCUGAUGCUUGUCUGCGUUUUGAAGGAAUGGUGGGUUUUGGGGUCGUAUUUCGUGAUGAUAUGGGUGCUGUUCUAGCAUGUGCAGCGAAGUGUGCUGCUGCUAUCUGGUCUGUAGAGGUUGCUGAGGCUAGGGCCAUUCGUUUUUGACUAAAGUUAGCUGCUGAGCUGAGUUUUUUCCAUGUGG
rnacentral:misc_RNA from 1 species